AUGCCCCCACGUGCUGGUGUGUGUGCCGGGUGUGCACGUGAGUCCCCCCACCCCCACCCCCACCCCCACCACGCGGUGCUGACCCCUGUCCUUUCUGAUUCCCCCAGGGCCUCACGGGAGAGGACGGUCUGUCUGGAGGCUGCACGUGGCCGGCUGCGGGGCAUGGCGCGACUCGGGGAGCCCGUGGGAGCCUGGCUGGCCCUGGCCCUGGCCCUGGCCCUGAGUCCCGGCGGUGCAGCAGCCCCGGGGCAGGACUGCACGGGCGUCGAGUGCCCCCCGCUUGAGAACUGCAUCGAGGACGCGCUCGAGCCGGGGGCCUGCUGCGCCACGUGCGUGCAGCAGGGCUGUGCCUGCGAGGGCUACCAGUACUAUGACUGCUUGCAGGGCGGCUUCAUGCGCGGCCGCGUGCCCGCCGGCCAGUCCUACUUCGUGGACUUCGGCAGCACCGAGUGCUCCUGCCCGCCGGGCGGUGGCAAGAUCAGCUGCCAGUUCAUGCCCUGCCCGGAGCUGCCGCCCAACUGCAUCGAGGCCGUGGUGGCGGCCGACAGCUGCCCACAGUGCGGCCAGGUGGGCUGCGUCCACUCCGGCCGCAAGUACGCCGCCGGCCACACUGUCCGCCUGGCGCCCUGCCGGGCCUGCCACUGCCCCGACGCGGGCGGCGAGCUCAUCUGCUACCCGCUGCCCAGCUGCCACGGAGAUGCCACCCCCGGAAACACCUCGGACGCCGAGGAGGGCGACCCUGAGCGGCACUACGAGGACCCCUACAGCUACGACCAGGAGGUGGCCGAGGCGGAGGCCCUGGCGGGCGAGCUCCAGGCGGGCGCUGGGGGCCCGGCCGCUCUGGGAGGCGGGGGUCAGCCACCUUCAGCCCUCCAGGCCACUCUCUGGCCGGCCGCCCUCCCCAGGCCCACGGCAGCCGCCGCUCUGGGUCCCCCGGCCCCCGUGCAGGCCAAAGCCAGGAGAGUGACGGACAACGGUCAGGAAGACAGGGAGGCGCCGGCCAUCCGGGAGCAGCUGGCCGCAGGCGGCCCCCGGGGGCUGGAUGGACGGCCCACGGCAGGCCCGAUGCCGGCUCACCCUGUCCGGGAGGAGGGGGCCGAGGCCAGGGCCGGGGUGGAAGAGAACCUCAUCCCCGACGUGCAGGCCACGCACCGCAGUGCCGGGCCCCCUCCCACGCUCAGCGUGCCCAGCAUCCUCCUGACCGAGACCACGCAGGGCCCCCCCACAGACCCCACCGAGCCCAGUGCCCCUGCCGCCCUGACCACACUUCAGCGGGAGAUCCCCCGCGCCCCGCCCACCCAGGAAGUGCCCCAGCAGCCGGCCGGGCCCCGGUCCCGGCUGGAGGAGGAGGAGGACCCCAACUCCGUGCACUCUGUCCCGAGAGGCGGCCUGGAAGUGUCCACGAAGGACCUGAUCGAGACGUGCUGCGCAGCCGGGCAGCAGUGGGCCAUCGACAGCGACGAGUGCCUGGACAUCCCCGAGAGCAGCGCCGAGGGCGACGUGUGCAGGACGGCCCAGAAGCACUGCUGCGUGUCCUACUUGAAGGAGAAGAGCUGCAUGGCUGGCGUGCUGGGCGCCAAGGAGGGCGAGGCCUGCGGGGACGAGGACAACGACACCUGCGGCGUCUCCCUGUACAAGCAAUGCUGUGACUGCUGCGGCCUGGGGCUCCGCGUGCGGGCUGAGGGCCAGUCCUGUGAGUCCAACCCCAACCUCGGCUACCCCUGCAACCACGUCAUGCUCUCCUGCUGUGAGGGUGAAGACCCCCUCAUUGUGCCCGAGGUCCGCCGGCCUCCAGAGCCUGAGGCCGCACCACGGAGAGUUUCAGAGGCAGAGUUGGCGAGCCGGGAGGCCCUGUCGCUGGGCACGGAGACCGAGCUGCCCAACAGCCUGCCGGGCGACGACCAGGACGAGUGCCUGCUCCUCCCGGGGGAGCUGUGCCAGCACCUGUGCAUCAACACGGUGGGCUCCUACCGCUGCGCCUGCUUCCCCGGCUUCUCGCUGCAGGAUGACGGCCGCACCUGCCGCCCAGAUGGCGGCCCCUCCAAGCCGGAGGCCACAGAGGAGUCUGCGCAGAGGCCCGAGUCCUCCCAGGAGGCCCCCAACACCAUCUCAUUGUCCGUGCCGCAUCCCAACAUCUGCCAAGACAACGGGCCCUGCAAGCAGGUCUGCAGGGUCGUCGGGGACGCGGCCGUGUGCUCCUGCUUGCCCGGCUUUGCCAUCAUGGCGGACGGCGUGUCCUGUGAAGACCAAGAUGAGUGCCUGCUGGGCGCUCACGAUUGUAACCGGCGACAGUUCUGUGUGAACACCCUGGGAUCCUUCUACUGUGUCAACCACACAGUGGUCUGUGCUGAGGGCUUUAUCCUCAAUAUGCACAGGAAGUGCGUGGACAUCAACGAGUGCGUGACAGACCUGCACACGUGCAGCCGCGGCGAGCACUGUGUGAACACGGUGGGCUCCUUCAUCUGCUACAGCGCCCUGAGCUGCCAGCCAGGGUACAAGGUCGAGGAGGGCCGGUGUACAGAUGUGGACGAGUGUGAGCUGGGCACACACAACUGCCCGGCGGGCGCCGUGUGCCGCAACACCGAGGGCUCCUUUCACUGCCAGGCUCGGGAGCGCUGCCUGGAGGGCUUCCUGCAGGACCCCGAGGGCAACUGCGUGGACAUCAAUGAGUGCACGUCUCUCUCCGAGCCGUGUCGGUCCGGCUUCAACUGCAUCAACACGGUGGGCUCCUACACGUGCAGACGGAGCCUGGUGAUCUGUGGACGUGGCUACCACGCCAGCGAGGACGGGACCAAGUGUGUGGACGUGAACGAGUGUGAGACGGGUGUGCACCGCUGCGGCGAAGGCCAGACGUGCCACAACCUCCCCGGCUCCUACCGCUGCGACUGCAAGCCUGGCUUCCAGCGGGACGCCUUCGGCCGCGCCUGCAUCGACGUGAACGAGUGCUGGACAUCACCCACGCGUGUCUGCCAGCACACGUGCGAGAACACGCUGGGCUCCUACCGCUGUUCCUGCGCCUCCGGCUUCCUGCUGGCGGCCGACGGCAAGCACUGUGAAGAUGUGAACGAGUGUGAGGCCCAGCGCUGCAGCCAGGAAUGCGCCAACAUCUACGGCUCCUACCAGUGCUACUGCAGGCACGGCUACCAGCUGGCCGAGGACGGGCACACCUGCACAGACAUUGACGAGUGCACCCAGGGCGCCGGUGUCCUCUGCACCUUCCAGUGCAUCAACGUGCCAGGGAGCUACCAGUGUGCAUGCCCGGAGCCCGGCUACACCAUUACGGCCAACGGCAGGUCCUGCAAGGACCUGGACGAGUGCGUGCUGGGCACCCACAACUGCUCCGAGGGUGAGACCUGCCAUAACGUCAAGGGCGGCUUCCGCUGCCUGCGCUUCGACUGCCCUCCGAACUACGUCCGAGUCUCCGAAAUGCCUGCCGGGGCUUCAGGAUGCCACUGCCCGCUCACGGCUCUGGGCGGGAGGCUGCAGCGCCUCACCACCUUGGCCUCUCCUUGGGGCUGGAGCUCCCCAGCCUGGGUCACUGAGAAGGCAAGUGACAAUCCUUUGUGACCCAACGUACUCUUAAAACCGACGUAUCAUCACUCCUGCCACUGGCCACACAGUCCAGUGCUGUGGGUGCGGGUGGGUAGGUGUCACCGGGGAGGCGGCCCAUGCGGUGUGACUGCAGAGGGGGGACGUGGGGGCUGUCUCACAGGCUGGUGACCACAUUUCCUCCUGAUGCUUCUUGGCAUUUUGCUGUUUUUCCUGUCUUCUUACCAAAGAACACGGGGCUUCCCUGGUGGCUCAGAGGGUAAAGCGUCUGCCUGCAAUGCAGGAGACCCGGGUUCGAUCCCUGGGUCGGGAAGAUCCCCUGGAGAAGGAAAUGGCCACCCACUCCAGCAGUCUUGCCUGGAGAACCCCAUGGUCAGAGGAGCCUGAUAGGUUACAAUCCAUGGGCUCACAAAGAGCUGGACACGACUAAGCGACUUCACUUUCACUUUUCGUACUAAACACACGUUUCCAUAAG
rnacentral:lncRNA from 1 species